rnacentral:rRNA from 1 species
CUUGGUUCAGGAUAAACGCUGGCGGCGUGCUUAACACAUGCAAGUCGAACGGAGUAUCUCUCCCGAGGAUUGACGAAGCUUGCUUCUGAUUGACUCAUUUGAGAUACUAGUGGCGGACGGGUGAGUAACGCGUGGGUAACCUGCCUCACACAGGGGGAUAACAGUUGGAAACGACUGUUAAUACCGCAUAAGCGCACAGCUUCGCAUGAAGCAGUGUGAAAAACUCCGGUGGUGUGAGAUGGACCCGCGUCUGAUUAGCUAGUUGGUGAGGUAACGGCCCACCAAGGCAACGAUCAGUAGCCGGCCUGAGAGGGUGUACGGCCACAUUGGGACUGAGACACGGCCCAAACUCCUACGGGAGGCAGCAGUGGGGAAUAUUGGACAAUGGGGGAAACCCUGAUCCAGCGAACCGCCGCGUGAGUGAUGAAGUAUCUCGGUACGUAAAGCUCUAUCAGCAGGGAAGAAAUUGACGGUACCUGACUAAGAAGCACCGGCUAAAUACGUGCCAGCAGCCGC